rnacentral:rRNA from 1 species
GGUUGUGAAAACCAUGGGCUUAACCUAUGGCUGUCAUCCGAGACUAGUCGGCUAGAGUUGAGUAGAGGAGAGUGGAAUUUCCGGUGUAGCGGUGAAAUGCGUAGAUAUCGGAAGGAACACCAGUGGCGAAGGCGGCUCUCUGGACUCAAACUGACACUGAGGGGCGAAAGCAUGGGUAGCAAACAGGAUUAGAUACCCUGGUAGUCCAUGCUGUAAACGAUGAGAACUAGCUGUAGGGAAGCUUGACUUCUUUGUAGCGUAGCUAACGCGAUAAGUUCUCCGCCUGGGGAGUACGGCCGCACGGUUAAAACUCAAAGGAAUUGACGGGGGCCCGCACAAGCGGUGGAGCAUGUGGUUUAAUUCGAUGCAACGCGAAGAACCUUACCUACCCUUGACAUCCUUGGAAUCUUUUAGAGAUAAGAGAGUGCCUUCGGGAACCAAGAGACAGGUGCUGCAUGGCUGUCGUCAAGCUCGUGUCGUGAGAUGUAGGGUUAAGUCCCGUAACGAGCGCAAGCCUCGUUCUUAAUUGCCAGCACGUAAUGGUGGGAACCUUUAGGAGACUGCCGGUGAUAAACCGGAGGACAGUGGGGACGAUGUCAAGU